UGUUUGUACUUGUUUCAGCAGCUGCGCACUCUCCUCUAAUGCACUCAAACACUGUUCCCAUCUGAUACGACACACUUGAAAGAAAAACUAAAGUAAUGAAAUCACUCUGCAUUAAGGAUUGUGGCAGAUCAAGGACACCCUUUCUGUUCGCUCCGGCAAUUCAGCCUCCAUUUCUCUUGAAAAACGGGGCAGGAGAGAGUGGGAGGUGAGGGAGAGCUCCGUCCAGUGGAGCCAGGGCAAGAAUUUAUGGUCAGGAAGAGCGAUGAAUGUGUAAUUUACGGUGCACGGUCUACCAUUCCCCCUGCCCUCCCCUUUGGUAAUGAGAAACGGCUGUUUUGUUGUUGAGCCAAUGCAUGGUACACCCCCUUCCAUCUGGCUAGGACACACCAUUAGUUUUUAUUUCUGUCUCUGCUUUUACGACCCCUGCCCAGGCGCCAGCAUUUGGCCGGUCAUCCAGACCGUCCCAUCAGCCCUUCUAGGCUCUCCCACCUCCCAAGAUGCCACCCUGUAGCCUGAGUUAUGUGAGGUCAGAAGAAUUUUUACAGCAAUAACAGCAGCAGCAGGAUCCAAGUGAGCGCUUAGACCUAUAAGGUCUUCGCUCAGUUCUGCACCCACGCACCCAGACACAAAAGGAGCAACGGCUUUGACACUUAAUCCUUCACAAAAACUCUACAAACAACUAUAUGGAUUUUACACAAACUGAGGGGAGCCCUAAUCUUAAAAAAAAAGGAGAAAGAUGAUUCCAGUGAAAUGCUGAACCUUGCAUAACCUGUUCUGUGAAAACAAAUACAACUGAACAGAAAAAAAAUGUUAUCUUUACUGAGCUUGUUAAAUGUUUAUAAGAUGUUCACCACAGUGACUCAGACCACAGAAAUGAAAAGCAGCGUUGAUGAAAAGCGAGAAAAAAGAUCCAACCAGAGUGAGAACUCACCCCGUUUUUGCCUUCUCGCCUUGGAGAGUUUGACAACAUCGCUGUGACCCAUGGAGCUGAGAAUGAUCAUCGCCAGCGCCACCAGUCUCAGCUGCAUAGUCCCUGCUGCCUUCCAGGCUGUGCAAGGUCCCCCCCUGCAACCAGAUGGAUCAGGUGGAGGGGGUCCUCCUUCCCCUGUGGCACAGGUGGAUCCCUCCUCAGCCGGUGCUGAUGAUCCCGCUUUUCUCCUGCGGCACUCCUGCUCUCCUUUUGCCCGCUUGUCCCUCCUCCCAGUCCCUUGGCGUCUUUCGCUCUACUGGCUGAUAUAUCCACGAGUGUGAGCGCUGCAGAAUGAUGCUGCGAUCGCAUGUCCCGACGAACCGGAGGCGCAACAAGACAUCCUGAGGCUGGUGAUGCAAGAAAAGGCAGCGAACGGGCGAUGACGAGGAGGCGUGUUAAAGUUCACGUGGGUCAACCCAUGAAGCUCGGGAAGAGCCAGAAGGCAAGCAGGGGCCCUGCUGUUUUCAGGCAGAUUUGGUGCCAGCGAGCGCCUGAGCUCACACGGAUGUGGAAGAGGGAGGUGACAAAAAAAAUAAAAAUACUUUGGAAGUCCAGAAAAGAUGGGCGCAGAUUUCUGCCAAUGUGUGACUACUAUCAAAGAGAAAAGACAAACGGUGAGUUUAAUGCACAUUAAAACAUCACAGAUUACAAUACAGUAGUCCUUUAAAAUGUUGGCCAAAAGGGAAAACAUAUGCCCAAUUCCUUAAACAGUCUUGUUAAAAAGACAAUCAGUGAGAUUUAUUGGCUAAUUAUCGGUCUGGUGUAGUAAUUGCCUGAGGUCUCUUUAACUUCCAAAUAAUGGACAUGUGUAGGUUCUAGUACAUGAAAAAAGGCCCUUUCAUAAAGUUUACAAUCUUUAAACAUGGAUUUAUCUUAAUAUAUUUUAUUAUAAUUUUACGUCAAUCUUCUAAUGUAUUGGCUUGUAAUCAGUAAUUGUAAUCGAUAUUGUGCAUAAAUACCAAAAAUAUAAGAAAAAACUCAAACCUUUACUAAUUCCAACAUUUAAGAGUUUAAAACAGUGAUGAUAAAAAAAAACACAGUUUGACCCCAAUGACUGUUGUGCAUGUUUAUCAUUCAGAGAAUGCAGCUCAAAGCUCAGACUGGAGCCGUCUUGUCAUAUUUGGAGCUGCGAUGUUUUCCCUUCUUUCAGAUAGUGUCACACGCCGCCUGUAUUUACGGCUUCUGUGUGAAGAGGACACUCGGGAUAUGUUUGUAUGUGAGCAAUGGGAGGUCCUCCGUCACAGCCCAAUAAAGGGAAAAAUAGGACCAUAUUUGGCUGUUGAGUCGGUAGCGGCUGAGAAUUGAACUGAGGACAAUGCCAUGGGGUGCGUCUAAACAUUCCUGCAGUGGCCUUUGGUUUUUUUAUUUUUUAUUGGAUGCCAAGCCAUGAAUCUGUUAAAAAAAUAAAUAAAUAAAA